rnacentral:rRNA from 1 species
UACGGAGGGUGCAAGCGUUAAUCGGAAUUACUGGGCGUAAAGCGCGCGUAGGCGGCUAGAUAAGUCGGAUGUGAAAGCCCUGGGCUCAACCUGGGAAUUGCAUUGGAUACUGGCGGGCUAGAGUGCGGUAGAGGAUGGCGGAAUUCCCGGUGUAGCAGUGAAAUGCGUAGAGAUCGGGAGGAACAUCCGUGGCGAAGGCGGCCAUCUGGACCAGCACUGACACUGAGGCACGAAAGCGUGGGGAGCAAACAGG